ensembl:snoRNA
CUGCUUUCAUUGAGAGACCUGGGGAAAUUUACCAUAGUUCUGCUGAUUUUCACUAGAAUAUGGAAAAAAAAUCCCUGUGCUUUCUACUUUUGUGGUUGUUCCAGAUUUAAUGAGGGAAUAUAUGU